UGGGGAAUUUUGGACAAUGGUGGAAACCCUGAUCCAGCCAUCCCGCGUUUGCGAUGAAGGCCUUCGGGUUGUAAAGCACUUUUGGCAGGAAAGAAACGUCAUGGGUUAAUACCCCGUGAAACUGACGGUACCUGCAGAAUAAGCACCGGCUAACUACGUGCCAGCAGCCGCGGUAAUACGUAGGGUGUAAGCGUUAAUCGGAAUUACUGGGCGUAAAGCGUGCGCAGGAGGUUCGGAAAGAAAGAUGUGAAAUCCCAGAGCUCAACUUUGGAACUGCAUUUUUAACUACCGGGCUAGAGUGUGUCAGAGGGAGGUGGAAUUCCGCGUGUAGCAGUGAAAUGCGUAGAUAUGCGGAGGAACACCGAUGGCGAAGGCAGCCUCCUGGGAUAACACUGACGCUCAUGCACGAAAGCGUGGGGAGCAAACAGG
rnacentral:rRNA from 1 species